UUCAACAAAUCAUUUUUUGAUUCAAGAGAAUGACUACAUUUUGAUAUUCGGGACACAUCUGACAUUUGCAAAUACAUCCCUCUUACCUUUCUGACUGUCUCUUAAUAAUACUACUUAGGGUAAGGGUUAGUUUGAAUGAGACAACUAUAGUGGAGUUAUAAAAUCCUGAAAAUUUAACAGAUGAAAAUAUGGAAUUUGGAGAAUCUGGAAUAUUUCAACUAUAACAAGUUUUCCCACCUCAGACUGUCCCAGGCGGUCCAGGUUGGAGAUGUCAAAAGUACCACCGACAGCAGCUGUGUCGACACCCCCCGUCCCUCGCUUCUGCAGACGCAGGUUGUCCAGGAUCUUACUGAAGCGGAUAUCCUGGAAGGUGGAGGACAAAAGUUACUCAGCACAGUUUAAAAGCAAUUAGAUUAACAUUUGAAUUAAUCUGCAUCUGUAUGUUUUUCUCGCAGGUAUUUGGUAUUACCAAGACUUUAAACACAAUCCAUCUGAGUUGGGUUUAGAAAGCAGCAGUUUAAUUAAAUUAAAACAAAUGUCCCUUUCCCCAUUGAUGGUUUCUACUUCCUCAUGGGGUCCUGAGGUGUUCCGAGGCCAGAUGACAUUAAUACUGUCUCUCCACAGUUUUCUGCACUGAGCUGUGUGAUGCCCUGAUAAAUCCACCCCUCUCUAUCCAUCCAUCCAUCACUAACAAUCUUAUAGCAACAUUUAUAGAAAAUAAAUUAAGAGCUUAUUUCCAAAUGAGCUGAUAUUGAAACUCUUGGUCAACAACAUUUACCACUUCAUUUAAUAAAAAUCUAUUUGUUGGUUUUCAAUAGCCUUUAACAGAACAAUUCUAGUUCUUCUCAUCCUUCACUUUUGUGAAUAAAAGAUGUAAUAUCACAGAUAAAAGAGACUAGAUAUGUUGAGGCUUUUUGAGGCCUUGUCUUUGAUAAUCUAAUGCAUUCAUUUGGGACUAUCAUUAUUUAACACAAAUAGAAUAGAGAGUAAAAAAUUGCACAUUAUCUACUGAAGUAUCACCUUGUCUUCAUUCUAUUACAUCUACCCAGUUACCUUGCCCAGCAGGGGCAGUUUGACAUGGACCCCGGCCCUGAGCCCUGUGCCCAGGUUGGAGGGGCAGGUGAGGAUGUAACCGAGCUUCUCGUUCCACAUGAACUCCCAGCCUUUCUCCUGGAUCAGCCGCUCCACCUUGCAAGGAGAGAAUCGGUCACAACACAAUGAAGGAGUGCUCCAUUCAUUCAACAAUCUUUUGACCUUUGAUACGUUUGAUGGACGUGCAAAUACUGUUGUUCAAACACAGCAAACUGUUGGUCGCUGCAGAUUUUUCAUUCAUCAGAGCUGACAAGUAAAGACUUGAGAGUUGUCGUCUUGAAAUGGACUGUGGCUGGACUGGACUGGCAUAGUAUGGGAGAUAAAAACGAUUUUAACAAAGCACUAAAGUGUGUCUCUCAGAGUUGUUGCAACAGUUCAAUACCAAAUGUUUUACUGCUUGUCCUUUGCUCUUUAUGUAAUGCGAAACUGCGGCUACUUGGAUAAAUAAUUUUAGUAAGUUUGUUUGGCCAUGUUUGGCCGGUGUGUUUUUGUCCCUCUGUCUACAAGCUUUACAUCCAUAGCAAGGCAAAGACUAGUGGGAGCUGUUUGUUUUUUCUGCUAGCGCUUUUAUUAAUUAUAUUCUGUUCUUCUUCUCUUCCCUGAUUAAAUCCUACAGCCAUCUGAUGGCAGCAGAGUGCAUACUGUAUGUCUUCUACAGCUGCAGCCUCCCACUUCAAAAUACUGUGUCCUUGGUUGAACUUGGUUGAAUCUGGCACAACUAUCACCAUUGUGCAUGAGCUACUGUGCACAUCAGGCUGGUCAGGUGUGAUGAAAAAUACUGAUUUAUGUGUGACACCCUGAGGAGCGUUGGUAGUGUUUCUGUAGGUUUCCACAAGUUUGACUUUGUGAGACCUUUUUAAUAAAUCAAUUAAUACCGAUGUCAAACACGACAGAUAUGAAGGCAUAUCAGGGUCCCAGAAUUACUAACACUUCAGAUAAGGUAAAGUACCCUAGUAGAGUAUAACCCUUGAUACACUACAUUAUCUUCAAAACUACAGGCAGGGACAGUAGCCUCUAGGUAUCCAUAGCCAAGCUGAGUGUAGUUACCUUGUUGGGCUGAUGUAGUUAACAGUGUGCUUACUAACAAACCUUUAUAUAUUUAUUUUUCUCCCUAAAAAAAGAUUCAGUGAAAAGAAAGAAGCGUUAAAUGAACAUUAACAGAAGGUGUUUAAAACCCAGCACAUAAUAUUUUAAUGUAUGUGAUAAUUUUAAGGCCUAACAUUCAGGGAG